CCUACGGGUGUCAGCAGUCGGGAAUAUUGCUCAAUGGGGGAAACCCUGAAGCAGCAAAGCCGCGUGGAGGAUUAAGGUUUUAGGAUUGUAAACUCCUUUUUUGCGAGAAGCUAAUGACGGUAUCUCACGAAUAAGCACCAGCUAACUCCGUGCCAGCAGCCGCGAUCAUACGGAGGGUGCCAGCGUUAAUCGGGAUUAAUGGGGGUAAAGAGUGCUCAGGCGGGGUUUUAAGUAAGAGGUGAAAUCCUGUAGCUUAACUACAGAACUGCAUUUGAAACUAUGAGUCUUGAGUGGGGGAGAGGUAGGUGGAAUUCUUGGUGUAGGGGUAAAAUACGUAGAUAUCAAGAGGAAUACUGAUUGCGAAGGCGACCUACUGGAACAUUACUGACGCUGAUGCACGAAAGCGUGGGGAGCAAACAGGAUUAGAUACCCUAGUAGUC
rnacentral:rRNA from 1 species